CCAUCUUCGGUGACUACUUCCAAUUUGUGUUGAUUCGUGGACCUAACAUUCCAGGUUCCUAUGCAAUAUUACUGUUUACAGCAUCGGACUUCGCUUCUCUCACUAGUCAUAUCCACAACUGGGUUGUCGUUUUUGCUUUGGAAUGAAGAGACGGAAUUAAUGUGCACACUCUUAAAGAAACAGUGUUUCCACCUUCUUUUUCUACCAUCUGAGGAAAUGAAUCUCAAACAGCUUCAGGUUUCUGUUUUCAUAUGUUGUAUCAUUCAUUCAUUUUACAAGAAGCUUUGAACAUAUACAAUGCGCUGCACAUAACAGCAGAAAACAAACUGACCAAACACCCUGCCCUUAUAGAGCUUAUAGUGUAGGCAAGGUGAUGAACAAUUCAAAUGACAUGUGUGGUCUCUCAUAGUGGUUAGUGCUAUUGAGAAUAAUGUAGUAGGAGUUACAUAGAGAAAACUGAGAAGGAGGAAGCUUUAUUAAUUUUAACUAGAGAUAGAGGGGGACGUUCAGUGCUGUUACACUGGCCCUCUGAAAAAUGAAAGCCUUGCUUUGUGUUGUUUGCCAGUUUCUUUAGGAAAUGGAUUAUUUGCCAUAAUCAUCAAAACAAAACUGAGGGAGGUACUAUUGUAUGCCAUUUUGCAGAUAAAAAAGUGAGACAAAGGUGAAAUAGCUUUAGUUCAGUUCAGUCCAGUCGCUUAGUCGUUUCUGACUCUUUGAGACCACGUGGGCUGCAGCACGCCAGGCCUCCCUGUCCAUCACCAACUUAAAUAGCUUGCCACACAGCUAAUAGUGUGGUGAGCAUUUAAACCCGGGCAGUUUGUAUCCAAAGUAUUGGUUUUCAGCCACAGUGAUUUUGCUCCUAAAGACACAUUUAGUGAUGCUAGACAUAGUUUGGUUGUUUGGUUCUUACAACUAGGAUGUGGCGGGAGCAGGCCGCUACUGGCAUCUCAUGCGUAGAGGACAGGGAAGCUACUGCAACCUACAGUCUAGAGGCCACAGCCUCCUCACAACAAAGAAGAGCCAAGGUCAAAUAAAAGUUAGUGCUGAGCUUGAGAAACCUUGCCCUAGAAUCUGAGCUCUUAACCAUUGUGCAGUAGGCAGAGUAGCAGUACCUUUUUACUUUAUUUAAGGUUUGACAAGUCAGUUUCCAAUAAAUUUCUAAUCAUUUUAAUUUGGAAAAUUAAAUUGAAAGUAAUAGUUUUUAGAAAUACGUAUUUUCCUCCUGUCAUAAAAAUAAUGCAAAUUGACAAUUUCUUUUGAGUCUUUAGCAUGACCAGUGUUUGCAGGUAUGUUUUUUUUUUUUUUUUUUUUAACAGCCUUAUUGUGGUAUAAUUUAAAUAUCAUAAAGUUGACCCAUUUUUAGGAUGGGGACUCUUUACACUGUUGAUGGGAUUGUGAAUU